AUGAACGCUAGCGGCAGGCUUAACACAUGCAAGUCGAGGGGCAACACGGGUAGCAAUACCUGGUGGCGACCGGCGCAAGGGUGCGUAACGCGUGAGCAACAUGCCUAUACAGGGGGAUAAUCCAGGGAAACUUGGUCUAAUAUCCCAUAGUAUUUAGAGGUGGCAUCACCACUAAAUUAAAGCUUCGGUGGUAUAGGAUUGGCUCGCGUGACAUUAGCUGGAUGGUGGGGUAACGGCUCACCAUGGCGAUGAUGUCUAGGGGUUCUGAGAGGAAGACCCCCCACACUGGGACUGAGACACGGCCCAGACUCCUACGGGAGGCAGCAGUGAGGAAUAUUGGACAAUGGAUGGAAAUCUGAUCCAGCCAUGCCGCGUGCAGGAAGACGGCCCUAUGGGUUGUAAACUGCUUUUAUAUGGGAGCAAUAAGGUUUACGCGUAGACCGAUGAGAGUACCAUAUGAAUAAGCAUCGGCUAACUCCGUG
rnacentral:rRNA from 1 species